UCGGGAAUUUUGGGCAAUGGGCGAAAGCCUGACCCAGCAACGCCGCGUGAGGGAUGAAGUAUUUCGGUAUGUAAACCUCGCAAGAAUGGGAAGAAUAAAUGACGGUACCAUUUAUAAGCUCCGGCUAACUACGUGCCAGCAGCCGCGGUAAUACGUAGGGAGCAAGCGUUGUUCGGAUUUACUGGGCGUAAAGGGCGCGUAGGCGGCGCGUUAAGUCACUUGUGAAAUCUCUGAGCUUAACUCAGAACGGCCAAGUGAUACUGCUGUGCUAGAGUGCGGAAGAGGCAACCGGAAUUCUUGGUGUAGCGGUGAAAUGCGUAGAUAUCAAGAGGAACACCGGAGGCGAAGGCGGGUUGCUGGGCCGGCACUGACGCUGAUGCGCGAAAGCCGGGGGAGCAAACG
rnacentral:rRNA from 1 species